rnacentral:rRNA from 1 species
CCUACGGGAGGCAGCAGUGAGGAAUAUUGGACAAUGGGCGCAAGCCUGAUCCAGCCAUGCCGCGUGCAGGAUGAAGCAUCUAUGGUGUGUAAACUGCUUUUGUACGAGAAGAAACACUGCUUCGUGAAGCAGCUUGACGGUAUCGUAAGAAUAAGGAUCGGCUAACUCCGUGCCAGCAGCCGCGGUAAUACGGAGGAUCCAAGCGUUAUCCGGAAUCAUUGGGUUUAAAGGGUCCGUAGGCGGCCUUAUAAGUCAGUGGUGAAAUCUCACGGCUCAACCGUGAAAUGGCCAUUGAUACUGUAGGGCUUGAAUUAUUAGGAAGUAACUAGAAUAUGUAGUGUAGCGGUGAAAUGCUUAGAGAUUACAUGGAAUACCAAUUGCGAAGGCAGGUUACUACUAAUGGAUUGACGCUGAUGGACGAAAGCGUGGGUAGCGAACAGGAUUAGAUACCCUGGUAGUCCACGCCGUAAACGAUGGAUACUAGCUGUUGGGGGCAACCUCAGUGGCUAAGCGAAAGUGAUAAGUAUCCACCUGGGGAGUUACGUUCGCAAGAAGAGAGACGAAGAAGUUAGAGGCGNGAGAGNGCGACGGACGACGACGAGGGAGGAGGAG